rnacentral:lncRNA from 1 species
AGACCCCCUGCCAUCCCUCUGGAGCUCCCAUAGCAAGCAAUCGACCGGGGGCCUUCAUCCUCCCCAUCUUAGGCGACUUCGACCGCCAUCGCGUUUCGGUCAAAUUCGGCCAAGCCGAAGCCACCUAGCCCCACUCGAGCCGCCCCUCGACUCCCCUCGACCCCGCAAAGGUUUCUCCCCUCGAAUCCUAGCCCGGGAGCUUUCGUAGAGAGAGACCCCAGACACCUAGAAACCAUAGUCCGUUGGUAGCCUUGCCGCCGGCCGAUCCCUCCACCUCCCCACACCUGGCUACCACCGGGAGGACCAGCAGCUGGCCGGGGAACCCAUUCCCGCCCUCAGACGGACCCUAGGAGCCUCCGUCCGCUGACGAGAACCGUCGGAGCCCUGCCUCCGCUCGGCCACAAGAAAGAGGCAUGUGCGACUGGUCAAACCUAACAAGUGGGCCCGAUGGACCCAUUGUCAGUGACCCCAUGGUUCCGCCGAAGCGCUUAAGUGGAAGUGUAAAGCCCCGGGGUAUGUUUUCUCUGUUAGGGUACGUAUUGGCCUCCGAAUCGUUUUUCUUUUCUGAUUUGUUAAAAAAAAUAGGAGUUUGACUGAGUUUUGAGUGGCCAUAACUUAUAAAAUAAAAGUCCAAUUGAUUUGAUUCUUUUUCCCACCUCUUUUAAAAUCCAUCUAGUUUAUUUAAAUAUUUAUUUCAAAAAUAUUUUGACAACUUUUCUGUACUAUUUUGGAAAUGUGUGUUGAUUUGAAUAUUUUCAGGAAUAGGGAUUUGAAGACAGGGUAAAAACUUUCCGAAAGUUUUGUUGUGCACCUCACCUACCUACACACUCAAGGCAAGCAUUCUGAAUUUGGGUAUAAUAUUGUUGUAUGUGAUUUGCUUCAUGAAGAAAACAUUAUUGUUAUGUUGAAUAAGUUUGAUGGUAUUUCAUGUGGUGGUAUAACCAUGCACAUGGGUACAUGGCGAGAAAAUAUACCUGUUACGUAUGUGAUGCUUGUGAGAGUAGCCACUCCCUUCUGCCACACAUGCCUUCCGGAUGGGAUCCGAGAAGAGUAGGUGUCUUGGAAAGACACGACCUUGGGGACUGACAUCUCAUGGGAGGAGGAUGGUCGGCGAGGCAUGUUGGGGUAUGAGAGGUGGUGAUUCUGUCCAGAAUCGUGAAAUAAUUCUGUUGUGCUAAUCAUUGCAUGGAACAAUAUAAACCUCCUUAGUCCAUCGUAGAUCGAGUCUUGGUCCAGCAACCUCCCUUACUUUUUUCGUACUACCGCUUGUCCGUGUCGAAAGCAGGGUACGGUUGAGUAAGUUGUCAACCCCUUUCUUGGCACACACCGUACAGGAGAGGCCAUAGUGAAAGAUACCAGUGGCCCCUCGUAGACAUGUCACUUGGUCUAGGGACAUGCGUGUUUCGGUCUGAGAUCAAAGGGGUUAGCUCCCCCGUGUGCGCGCGACCCCAGGCAUCAGGAAGUAGGAACUCGUGUGUAAAGGUUAGGUGUGUUUUCAACUCAAAGACCGUAAUCGGAAUUAGUCAACAUCUCUGGUUGACUAGAGAAAUCCGUUACUCGUGGGUAAAGAGUACACCCUCUGCAGAGUUUUACACCUAUUCGGAAGGCCUUGUCCGUGGUUAAGGGAUACAGUUUGCGAUAGGUCAAGUGUCGGUAUGAGUAUCGGUCUUCGGAGGAUGUUAACAAAAUCGUGAGACUAAUCAUGAAAUAUGGUGGAUGAUCAUAGCUAUUAUUUUACUAUGGACUAACCUUUAUGAUUAUGAAUGUUGAUUAUCCCUAGGACGGUUCUACCUCCUAGAUAUUCAUUGUUGUUAUUUCAUAUGAGUCAUGUAUGUGGUAUCGCCCAGAUGCCCAACUGUGGCAUGAUUAUUACUAUUUCAUAUAAGCCCAUUAUGUGGUAUCGCUCAAACGCCCGACUGUGGCAUGCUUAAUAUUAUUUCAUAUAAGCCCUUUAUGUGGUGUCGCUCAGACACCCGACUGUGGCAUGUUUGUUAUUACUUCACAUAAACCCUUUAAGUGAUGUCACUCAGACGCCCGACUAUGGCAUGUUUGUUAUUAUUUAUUAUAAGCCAUUUAUGUGGUGUCGCUAAGACGCCCGACUGAGGCAUAUCACGUAUCUUUUCUGUUAACUUUCUUCUCAUUGAAUGCUUAUUGAACUCUUAGUAUGGUUAAUUUACAUGAUCACUAGUGCUUGAGAGUUUGAAUUAUGAUUGAAGUAAUAUCGUUGAAUUAUUGCAAGUGCAUAUUAACCACGUGCUAUUUUAUGCAUGCUUUCAUGAUGUUUGUGAGUACAUUCAAAGUACUCAAUGGCUUGUCCCUGGCUAUUGUCUUGCCUGAUUGCGUGCUUGGAGAGGAGGAUCCCGAUGAUAGCCCCGGAACCUAGGCACCGAAGACAGUAGCCGCGUGAGAUAGGAAUUGUCCAAGGUGAGCUAUUCCUGUGGGAAAUGGAGUCCCAUAGACGCUAGAAAUCCCCGAACCGCUUUCGCCAUCAACCAGUAGAAACCUUUUCUAUGUACUCCAUAGGCCAUCUUGGUCUUGUACCUCAUAUUUGUAUUUUCUUUACUUGGAUAUUUGUAUCAUGGAUUUAUGUACCAGCUAACCGUAUUCCUGGGGUUUGUAUGCACAAGGGUCAUUUGAUGGGAAAUUAAAAUCCCCGAAAAUCCGGUCCUCACACGCCCACGUGGCUCCGUUUGGCGUGAUUCCAACACCGAAAAUCCUAUAUACACCAGAAACCCCAGAAGUAAAAAAAGAGAACAUCCGCUCCGCCGUCACAACCCUCUGUAUCGACGAAAAACCAAUCUAGAGAUCUUCGAGUACCCUGCUAAAGAGGGGAAUCAUCUCUGGUGGCCAUCUUCAUCAUCUUGGCGGAGGCCAUGACGAGGAGGGAGUAGUUCACCCUCGGGGCUGAGGUUUUGUACCAGUAGCUAUGUGUUUAAUCUCCCUCUCUC